CUCUCCCUCCUGUGUUCGUAUUUCGUCGCGGCGGUGUUGCUCGCAAGCCACCGUGGGUCUUGUUGCUGCUGUCGCCUUUGUUUCUCUCUCCUCCCUCGAAAUUCUCUCUCCUCUCGUCGCGCGUUUGUUAUGCGCCGCUAGUACUGCCGUGUUGUUGUUGCUCGUGUUCCCCUGUUUUGAUGUUGUUGCUUUGUCGGUGAUGUUGGGCGAUUGGAAUCACCACCGUGCUGCCCUGUCGUAUCUUAAAUGUUUCAUGUUGAAGCCGUGAGUUAUUCUUUUGCAAGUUGAAGCUGAUACGAGAUGAUGCAGUAUUAUAUUCGUUAUUGAAGUGAGGACGCUCCAUUUGUAAUAGUUAAUCGUUUAAUUUCUAUAACAUAUUUUCUUUAUUUAAGAAUCGCUAGCUAAGUGCUCCUGAUUCUCUGCUGGUUGUUGCUCCGCGAAAGCGUUGAGAUUGUUGAGCUUUGGGAUUUGAAAAUAUUUUAUUUAUUAAAAUUGUAACAGGUUCAUAUUAUUUUUCGCUUUA